rnacentral:rRNA from 1 species
UAUUAAAUGUCGAUCUAUAGGCGAUGAUUAGCGCGCGUAUUCGCCUUGUGCAGCCGCCGCGUUAAUUCCAUCGUGCCGAGAGCGUAUAUUAAAGUUGCAGUUAAAAGAGAUCCAUUGAUGAAGGUUGGGCCUGGCUGGCCGGUCCGCCUCACCGCGUGUACUGGUCCGGCCGGGCCUUUCCUUCUGGGGAACCUCAUGCCCUUCACUGGGCGUGUUGGGGAACCAGGACUUUUACUUUGAAAAAAUUAGAGUGUUCAAAGCAGGCCUUUGCUCGAAUACAUUAGCAUGGAAUAAUAGAAUAGGACGUGUGGUUCUAUUUUGUUGGUUUCUAGGACCGCCGUAAUGAUUAAUAGGGAUAGUCGGGGGCAUCAGUAUUCAAUCGUCAGAGGUGAAAUUCUUGGAUUGAUUGAAGACUAACUACUGCGAAAGCAUUUGCCAAGGAUGUUUUCAUUAAUCAGUGAACGAAAGUUAGGGGAUCGAAGACGAUCAGAUACCGUCGUAGUCUUAACCAUAAACUAUGCCGACUAGGGAUCGGACGGUGUUAGUAUUUUGACCCGUUCGGCCACCUUACGAGAAAUCAAAGUUUUUGGGUUCUGGGGGGAGUAUGGUCGCAAGGCUGAAACUUAAAGAAAUUGACGGAAGGGCACCACCCAGGCGUGGAGCCUGCCGCUUAAUUUGACUCAACACGGGGAAACUCACCAGGUCAAGACACAUUAAGGAUUGACAAAUUGAGAGCCCCUUCCUUGAUUUGGUGGGUGGGGGGGGCAUGGGCGGUCCUUAAGUUGGUCGGGAGUGAUUUGUCCUGCUUUAAUUGCGAU